AGUGAACGCUGGCGGUAGGCCUAACACAUGCAAGUCGAACGGCAGCACAGUAAGAGCUUGCUCUUACGGGUGGCGAGUGGCGGACGGGUGAGGAAUACAUCGGAAUCUACUUUUUCGUGGGGGAUAACGUAGGGAAACUUACGCUAAUACCGCAUACGACCUACGGGUGAAAGCAGGGGAUCUUCGGACCUUGCGCGAUUGAAUGAGCCGAUGUCGGAUUAGCUAGUUGGCGGGGUAAAGGCCCACCAAGGCGACGAUCCGUAGCUGGUCUGAGAGGAUGAUCCGCCACACUGGAACUGAGACACGGUCCAGACUCCUACGGGAGGCGGCAGUGGGGAAUAUUGGACAAUGGGCGCAAGCCUGAUCCAGCCAUACCGCGUGGGUGAAGAAGGCCUUCGGGUUGUAAAGCCCUUUUGUUGGGAAAGAAAAGCAGCAGGUUAAUCCCCCGCUGUUCUGACGGUACCCAAAGAAUAAGCACCGGCUAACUUCGUG
rnacentral:rRNA from 1 species